UACAGAGGGGGCGAGCGUUGUUCGGAAUUACUGGGCGUAAAGGGCGCGUAGGCGGCCCGCUAAGUCGAACGUGAAAUCCCCAGGCUCAACCUGGGAACUGCGUCCGAUACUGGCAGGCUUGAAUCCGGGAGAGGGAUGUGGAAUUCCAGGUGUAGCGGUGAAAUGCGUAGAUAUCUGGAGGAAUACCGGUGGCGAAGGCGGCAUCCUGGACCGACAUUGACGCUGAGGAGCGAAAGCCAGGGGAGCAAACGGG
rnacentral:rRNA from 1 species